AAGCUCAAGGGCGUCCAAAUCUUGCCGAUGGCAUUUCCCUGUACGUUAGCGAUCAUGGGUAAAACCUAGCAACUUGGAGUUUGGCUGGCUGUUAGUACGUCGACGGAACGCAGCCGGCU
rnacentral:sRNA from 12 species